rnacentral:rRNA from 1 species
UACAGAGGUCCCGAGCGUUGUUCGGAUUUAUUGGGCGUAAAGGGUGCGUAGGCGGCGGAGUAAGUUGGGUGUGAAAUCCCGGGGCUUAACCUCGGAAUUGCAUUCAAUACUGCUUCGCUUGAGUACUGGAGAGGAGGCUGGAAUUACGGUGUAGCAGUGAAAUGCGUAGAUAUCGUAAGGAAGCCGGUGGCGAAAGCGAGCCUCUGGACAGUUACUGACGCUGAUGCA